AGAGCGAACGCUGGCGGCGUGCUUAACACAUGCAAGUCGAGCGAGAAAGGGGGCUUCGGCCCCUGAGUACAGCGGCGAACGGGUGAGUAAUACAUGAGCAAUCUAUCCUUGAGGCGGGAAUAACCCAGCGAAAGUUGGGCUAAUACCGGAUGAGACCACAGGAGGAAACUCCAAGGGUCAAAGGCAGCUUUCUUUUGGGAGCGGCCCUUCGAAGAGGAGCUCAUGUCCUAUCAGCUAGUUGGUAGGGUAACGGCCUACCAAGGCGAAGACGGGUAGCUGGUCUUAGAGGAUGAUCAGCCACACGGGGACUGAGACACGGCCCCGACUCCUACGGGAGGCAGCAGUGGGGAAUAUUGGGCAAUGGGCGAAAGCCUGACCCAGCGACGCCGCGUGGGUGAUGAAGGCCUUCGGUCGUAAAGCCCUGUCAGGAGGAAAGAACGAUCGUUAGUAGGUAAAUACCCGAAGAGAUGUAGACGGUACCUCCGAAAGGACGCACCGGCAAUUCCGCGCCAGCAGCCGA
rnacentral:rRNA from 1 species